rnacentral:lncRNA from 10 species
CACCCAUGAGCUGGUCCAGAGUCUCAUCUCCACCUACUCCACCAUUGAUGCCAAGAUGGCUUCAAGUCGAGUGAUGCUGCUUUCCAAUUCCAAACCACUUGGGUCAGAGGCUAUAGAUAAUCAAGGUGGAGACGAGGUUUCACUAUGUAAGUGAAGCUGGUCUCGAACUCCUGACCUCAGAUGAUCCACCCGCCUCAGCCUCCCAAAGUGCUGGGAUUACAGGUGUGAGCCACCGCGCCUGGCCUGUUUAUUCUCUUAAGAGAGAAAAUGAGGGGAUUAAUGGACUGUAGUUCUGGACAAGGUGGAAAACUCUUAAAGUGGAAGUAUUGGGGCGAAUGCUCUGACAGGCUAGGAUGGUGCAGUCAGUCCCUUCACCCAGAAAUCAGUAGAAUGUUAGCAGUUCAGACUCAAACCUUGUGAAAAACAGGUGGUGGAAAGGAAAUCCCUCACAGCAACUGGCACCAUAAUCAAGACAAUGUUUGCAGAAUAAAUGGAGUUACCUGCUUUCAGCCCCAGGUCAUAGCUAUUGUCUGCCCUGCUGAUAUGUGAUAAUAAUUUGUGAUCAUGUUGUCUUAAAAUGGGGUCACUCAUCUCCAGUAGAAUUAAGUCCACAGUGAAGUUGUCCCCCCAUCCCCAAAGAGAUAAACAUAUAUGAAUGAACUCACGUGAUAACAACUACUGCUGCCUGGGAUCAUGAGAGACCUGAACUGAACUGAUAGGAAGUGAAAGGUGGCUGAGAUAAUGAGAAUAGACCCAUCUGCAGAGGAUCAUAAAACCAGCAAAGACAAUAUCUUGUCUAAGAUGCCUUCACAAACUUUGUCCAUGAGAACUCUUAAGGAUUUCACCAGACCUGUUGGCUGCUGCUGUGAUCUCUGCCCAAGAGGAGCCUCUGACCAACAUCCAAAGGGCUUCUGGACCCACUGGACUCCUCUGGAGGUACCUUAGUCUCCCGAUCCAUGGCUGUGUUUUUUUACUCCCUUUAUCGCUGCCUGUGUGUAGAAUGAUAAUUGCACAAUUGAUAGUGUGAAGACCUCUUGAUAAAUGGUAAAUCUGAGCAUAUGUAUUUGGCUGACAUGUCAUUGUGAAACCUCACAGCUUCAGUCAGUGUCAACGCAGCUAGGGAGCAUGUACCUAAUGCACAUAUCACUGGGCAUAGUCUACAGGCACCUAAUAACUCAGGUACCUUAACAGUCACUAAUGAGUGUCUCUCCAAGGACUAAACAAUGGAAGACUGUAGAAGAUGCUAUUCAUUAAGAUAUCUCAAGAAUAUGGAAGACUAUUAUUCACUUCUCAUGGGACAGGACUUUAUAGGGCACCUGAAAAAACUCCCAUGAAAAAUCACUUUUACAAAAUGUCAAGUUAUGAUAUCCAAGAUGAAACCAAUGAGUCACAACAUUCACAUAAUACACUGUACAACCCUGAUCUCUUGACUGUCAUCAAAUGUUUCUUACCUCUAAACCAAAGUUUCAUUUUAUAAUUUAAUUUUUCUCAUUUUUUCCAUUCUCUUAGCUUAAGAAAAGAUCAUUACAAACUUUUUGUAAGUUUUUCAUAUAUGCUUGCAAAGGGUUGUAAAACUUUAUUGUGAUUAUUCUUGCUUUAAGCUGAAACUUCCCUAAUCUUUCUUUAGAGAUUGUGGCAUAGCAUGUUAGUUUCUUUUCCAUAUCCAAUUGUUUUCUGUUAUGAAUACAGAAAUACAGGCACUGUCUUGUAACUUUAAAUAGACAUCAUCUCAAGUCUACAAGAAUUAUCCAAAAUGGUAUUUAAUGACAUUUCUAGGUCUUCAGACACUAUUAAUGCAGAUUGUAGCCUCUAGGUCCUGAAGAUUUUACUAGAUACUGGUUACUGAAACUGAGCUUUCUUGAAUUCUUUUUCCUUCCACUGUGGUUUCCCGCAUUUCAACAUAUCACCUAUUUUUGUCCUCAAAGGUUACUUAAAUGUUUUCCACAGAAUUAAAUUAAAUAUGAAUCAUCCCUCCUCUGAUUUUUGAAAUGACCCUUUGCUUCCUAUGAUAAUGAUUCUUCUGGUCCGUUUUGUAGUUAUAUGUUAGAGUUUGUAAAUAGUCACACAUUUUGCAACUGCAUAUAAUUUUCUUAUUAUUUUUUCCUCUUCCUCUAAAACUGCUGUUAUUUCUUUUAACUUUUUGUGGGAAAAAUUAAACCCAUCUUUCACUUUGUUGAUAUACUUAUUUAUAAUUGAACUCCUUGAUUUUUGCUCGAAUUGCUUUUCAAGUUACCCACUUUUAGGGAAGACAUUAUUUGGGUUUUGUUUAGUGUAUCAGGCUUUUUUUAGUUAGUUGUAUCAAGAAGUGUAGACUUUUCUAUACAUAAUAUCCUUUUUCCCACAGUAUUUUUUUUUUUUUUUAAAGUCUAGCCAGGUGCAGUGGCUCACGCCUGUAAUCCCAGACUUUGGGAGGCCGAGGCCGGCGGAUCACGAAGUCAAGAGAUGGAGACCAUCCUGGCUAACACGUUGAAACCCCGUCUUUACUAAUAAUACAAAAAAUUAGCUGGACAUGGUAACGGGUGCCUGUAGUCCCAGCUAAUCAGGAGGCUGAGGCAGGAGAAUGGCAUGAACCCAGGAGGCAGAGGUUGCAGUGAGCCGAGAUCGUGCCACUGCACUCCAGCCUGGGUGACAGAGCAAGACUCCAUCUCAAAAAAAAAAAAAAAAAAAAUUAUGUUAAAAUAAAGGUCAUCAAAAGAUAUUUUCCUAAACCUUUCCUUUACCAGAAAUAUCUCUAGUGUCACAUGGUCCUUUCUCCCUUCUUGCUUUUGUAGGAAUCCAAAGCUAAUCUGUCCCUGAUCCGGAUUGCACGCACCUGUGCCUUUUGGGGCCCUUCUGCAUUAGUUCUUCCUUCUCUUCUAACCUCAAAAAUGUGUUUUCUCUAUUGGCUCUUUCCCUUUAACAUAGAAGUAUACUCACGCUUUUGUUGAAUCUUGAAAUAAAAGGCUUCCUUUACCACAUAUCUCCCUUUAAUACUACAUCUCUCUUCUCAGCCAAAUACUUGGGAAGAGAAGCCCUGAGUUUGUGUCAUUGUUUUCUCACCUCCAGUUCACUACUUUGCCCACUGCCUGACAUCCAGCUCGCUCACACACACACCCAAGCCCAAUCACUAAGUUGCCAUAGCUAAUUUGUAGCUUUCCUGCCUUCCUGGCAAAAUUUGACUCUGCAUUGGGAUAAUACAUGUCGAGUACCUAUUGAACAGGCACUGUGCUAGGUGCUACUGUUAUAGAUAUGAAAAGAAGGCAUCAUCUCCUUUCUAACAACUCACAGGAGCAGCCAUUUCUGAUUCAUACAUGUCUCUUGACUCCCAGUGCUCACUUUUGCAAGCUUCACUUAAUGCCGUGCAAAUCACCCUAUUCUCCAGGUCUUCUUUCUUCCCAGUUCUCCUUACUAUACACAACUUCUCAAGGCAGUCACCUCCACACCCAUGGCUUCAAUUGCUUUCUCCAUUCUCUGAGAACAAUAGAAUUUUAAAUGGUUUUAUUUCAUGUAUUAGCUUUAUUUUAUACAAGGUGCCUCACCUGCUGUAACCAUAGAUUCAAAGUUGCUCCAUGAAAGUAAUAAAUGAAAAAUGGUGAUUUUUUAGCAUGUAAAUUUUAGGAAAUUUCCCCAGUUACGCUUAAUGGCUUGAUUUAGUGUGUAUGUUAUUUUUGAAAACAUAUGUUGGGAUGUCACAAAUGGACUUAGCCUACAGAGAUUUAUAUUCAACUUUUGACCAGAGAGUUCCAUUUUAAUGUGACACUGAGAGUAAAAAACUAUCUUUUCCUCCUUACCUAUUUCUCUUCCUACAUUCUCGGCCAGGAGGAAGGCACUGCUACACACCCAGUCUUCCCCAGCAGAGCCUGAGCAGCUCUGUUUUCCUUCUACUUCCCCUCUUCUUUCACAUCUCAUGACCAAGCACUUCCUAUUCUGUCUCCCAAAUGAUCACAGACUUUUUCCUCCACUUUUGUCACUGCCACUGCCCUUAGCAUUACUCUGCCUUUAGAGAAAGUCUCUUAAUUGGUUGGGUUGCUUCCUUCAGUCUUUAUUAUACAGACCACUACACGCACAUCUGACAGAGACUUUUCACCUUUUUAUGGUUGAAUGACUGAAAUUCCCAGAAUAAAAUUAAAACCACCCCAGCAUCAAAUUUGAGGUCAAAUAGAGGUGGGUUUGUAUCCCAGGUUCAUAUACUGUCCAGCAGUAUGGUCUCAGAAAACUGACCUCCUUAAGCCUUUGUUUGUGUAUCUGCCUACACUCAUUGAGAGUUGGGACUAUUUCACACAUACAGUGCCUGGCAUGUAGAAGGGACUUAAUCAAUGUUGAAAGAAGGGGAGGCAUUUUAAAAUCCACAUCAAAAAAAUGUUGUUCUGUUCGGGAGUGGUGGCUCACGCCUGCAAUCCCAGCACUUUGGGAGGCCAAGGCAGGUGGAUCACCUGAGGUCAGGAGUUCGAGAUCAACCUGAGCAACAUGGUGAAACCCCAUCUCUACUAAAAAUACAAACAUUAGCUGAGCAUGGGGGCGGGAUCCUGUAAUCCCAGCUACUUGGGAGGCUUAGGCACUUGAAUGAGAAUCACUUGGACCCAGGAGGUGGAGGUUGCAGUGAGCAAUGAUUGUGCCACUGCCUGGGCCACAGAGUGAGACUCUGUCUUAAAAAAAAAAUAAAAAGUAAAAAAAAUUCUUUUAAAAAUAUACGAAUCUGGCUGGGCACGAUGGCUCAU